UACGGAGGGGGCUAGCGUUGUUCGGAAUUACUGGGCGUAAAGCGUGCGCAGGCGGUUUUGUAAGCCAGAUGUGAAAGCCCCGGGCUUAACCUGGGAAUGGCAUUUGGGACUGCAAGGCUUGAGUGCGGCAGAGGAGACUGGAAUUCCCGGUGUAGCAGUGAAAUGCGUAGAUAUCGGGAGGAACACCGAUGGCGAAGGCAGGUCUCUGGGCUGACACUGACGCUCAUGCACGAAAGCGUGGGGAGCAAACAGG
rnacentral:rRNA from 1 species